CUGAUUAGAUCAUCCGAAUCGUGCUCAACUCAAACAGUCCUAUGACUCCUCACUAGGACUGUCCUGUCAAGAUUUUGCUAAAUUGAAACAUGACUAUACAUAGCUCCUGAACUGGAGUAGUCAAUCCCAUCUUGACAUAUACACCGACAAGUCAAGUACUUGACUACACCCAGUAGCCUUCCGUCAUUAAAUUAGAAAUUCAGGUAUUCCAGUGCCUAAGUGCAGUGAGUUGCUUGCAAGUCACUGUGGCGGU
rnacentral:lncRNA from 1 species